CGUCCAUAUUAAAAUGUGUUGUUUUUUCUCUGUUGAGGCAUAUUAUAGAAAGAUUUCAUAUUGAAUGUAUCAAAUUUUGGGUCCGACGUCCGUGAACUUUUUACUCUUUCAACUUCUUUUCGGGAACCACGUAAAAGGAUCAAUAUAUGAAUCUGUUAUUUUUCUCUACUGUUGAAGCAUAUGAUAAAAAGAUCAUAACAUGUCAUUUUUCAUAUCGCAUGUAUUAUCAGCCCUCGGUCAAUAUCAGCCCUCGAGCCAUGCGGCUCUUGGCCUGAUAUUGAACCUAGGGCUGAUAAUACAUGCGAUAUGAAAAAUGCCAUGUAAUAAA
rnacentral:lncRNA from 1 species